CACGUUCUGUGCGAGUCUUCUCGCAAAGGUCAGAGGCUCAGAGCUUCGUCCAAGGUAAAAUUCCCAACCUUUCUUCCGUUCAUGACAUGGGUUAGUCGUUUGAGUUUUCCAACUAUCAUUCUCCUAAUAAUUCUCCAUUCAUCCUCAGACCCACCAAAGCAUACAAGCAUACUACCAAUAAUCUGCCAGUGACACCAUUUCAAGCGAGCGUGCUGACGAGUGACUUUUGGUUCUCACAAUGGUUCAAACAAUGUCAACAAAUUAGGUUCGUUUAUAUUUUUCCCUUUACUGCAAUAUGAAUGUGUUUUAUGAGUACCGUUAUGGUUCUAAUGCAAUGAACGAUACUCGAAAUUCCAUCUUUGAAUAUGAUUUUGUAUAUUUUUUAUUUCCUUUGGUGUACCUGUAUGGUGGCGCUCCACUGUUUUCUUUUUCUCUUUGCUGAUGUCUUUUCUAUUUAUAGGGAAAGUGAUUGAUGUACUGAAAUGGGAGGAGGAGCUAAUCAAGGAAAAUGUAUUUCCUGGGAAUGUCAAAUGUUUAGAGGACAAGUAUGAUAAUAUGCAGAAAAAAUUAGAGGAGUAAGAAUGGAGAUAUGAAUAGUAUGAAGAAGAGUGUAAUUUGAAAAGGAGAGUAAUAUUCUUUUUUUUUCCUUUUGCUGAAAAUAUUGCUGAAGAUAUUAAAAAUUAUGUGUUGAAUAGGGGAGAAAAUAAAGAGAAAAACUUAAGAAGAUUUUUGAUGAUAGGCGAAGGGAAUGGACUUGGUUUCCAUUUUAUAUCUCUUCUUGAUUUUGGUUCUUCAAGUGGCAACAGUUCGAACAAAAUGGUCAGGUAGCCCAUUUUUAUUUUUCUUCCUAUAGUUUCUUGGCUUACCAACUACAGAUUUG
rnacentral:lncRNA from 1 species